AGUGAACGCUGGCGGUAGGCCUAACACAUGCAAGUCGAACGGCAGCACAGUAAGAGCUUGCUCUUACGGGUGGCGAGUGGCGGACGGGUGAGGAAUACAUCGGAAUCUACUUUUUCGUGGGGGAUAACGUAGGGAAACUUACGCUAAUACCGCAUACGACCUACGGGUGAAAGCAGGGGAUCUUCGGACCUUGCGCGAUUGAAUGAGCCGAUGUCGGAUUAGCUAGUUGGCGGGGUAAAGGCCCACCAAGGCGACGAUCCGUAGCUGGUCUGAGAGGAUGAUCAGGCACACUGGAACUGAGAAACGGUCCAGACGCCUACGGGAGGCAGCAGUGGGGAAUAUUGGACAAUGGGCGCAAGCCUGAUCCAGCCAGACCGCGUGGGUGAAGAAGGCCUUCGGGUUGUAAAGCCCUUUUGUUGGGAAAGAAAAGCAGCAGGUUAAUACCCCGCUGUUCUGACGGUACCCAAAGAAUAAGCACCGGCUAACUUUGU
rnacentral:rRNA from 1 species